CAGAGUGAAAAGACUACAGAAAGUUUUGAAAGUACAUUUCUUUAAUGGUGACAUCAGUUUCAUCAAAAACUAGCAAAAUUGUAGAGUUUUUACAUUAAUUUUAAAUUAAUUUUGUAUUGAAUAUGCAAAAAAAAACACUGGGGCGAAAAUCUCCCCACCUGGUACCUGUUUUAAUUUUUUUAAUCACGACACCUUGUUUCAUUUCGGAGGGGUCCAGCAGGAGUUAAAGAAUUUUAAUAUACUUUGUUUUAGUGGUUCGCCACAGUGACGGAGCAUUUCGUUACGGAUACAUCGCAUCCCGGGGAAUGUGCUGUCUCCUGAUCGGCUUUGGUUUCCGCUUUUCGAGAACAGUCAUUUGUCACCUCCCCGUCUGUCCCACGGAGAAAUGCUGGGUAUCAGGGAAACAGCAGGAAUCUGCUUCCAGACCUAUCCGCUGGUAGCAUCCGGUGUGAUGGUACAGACAUACUCUCGUCACGACUCUCUUUGAGCUUCGCGAAUUCUCCGACGACACUCUGCUGUACGUUUUUUGAACACUAUUAAGGUUCUCUAUCGUGGGACAGCAGUGAAGUAGGUACCCAAAUUCAUAUUUCAAUAUGAUCAUCGGCUAACGUCACAGCUCACGGUAAUACUGUAUUACCGAAGUUUGCUUAAAACACGAAAUUUGAAUCCAAAUUGCUUCUCGCACACCAAACAUUCACAAGAAAUUUAACAAAAAUUAACUGAUUUAAAAAGGGUUAUAAAACACUAUGCGUAUUAAGAAUUUCCCUUAGCUUAAUGCUACCGCGUUUUCCUAGGGAUGCAAAGGAAUUAAUUAGCUAUAUUCACUCGAUGCGAGUUCAAAUUAAUAUUUCUUCUAAUUGGAAUGUUAUUUAAUAUGGGAAAAUUUCACACAUAUGGUGUCUCAUAUAAGUAUAAUUACAGGCGCAAUUAGUUUGCAAAUUGCACCAACCAUAGGUAGUUAAUGUUGCUCAUCGAGUAUUCCUGAGACAUAAAAAAAUAAUAUCUGUCAUAUUUACGAGCAGUACAAUCGUUAAAGAAGUGAUAACACUGUAUAAAAGAGUACUAAUUGUGACUGGUCAUUCAGACUUCAAAAAUUAAACAUGAAAGCAGGAUUGGUGUUACUGUUCCUUGUAGCUGCCAAUUUAGUUGCAGUUUUAGAAGCCGGGUACACUUAAGGCUAACGUUUUGAAAACUCACAACAAAUACAGAACACGACAUGGAGUACCUCCCUUAAUCUUGGACAGAAAGGUAUAAUUUGUUUUUUUAAUUUUUAAUAGUAUUACUACUCCUGUCCUAAUUAUGCAAUUUUAGACAUGAUAUUUUUUGGAUAUUCUAGGGAUUUCUAGCAAUUAUUAAAACAAAACCGUGUUUGACUCCAAACAAUGUCUGAAAUUUUAAUACAAUGCAGUUGCAGAUUAAAUAAUCUGAAUCGUAUUCGCAGUACAGUAUCAAAGUGUAAUCAAAUUUUCUCUUACUAGCUGAACAAC